rnacentral:lncRNA from 1 species
CUCCUUUAAGCCUCCCCUGGUUGCUGGUGUCUUGUCUCACAAGCUGAAAAGGAGUUGGCGUGUCUCAAAGUCUCCGUGACAUCUCAGCUGGAGCAGCCACUUGGAGCAAGUUCCCCCCCGGUGCAGCGGGCUCUGGCAGCGAGCAGCCCCAGAUGGAUGGAUGGAUGGACAGACGGACGGGCGGCAUGGUCCCUGUGAGGCGCACAAGUGCUCGUUAACUUCAGCAGAACUUGGCGACGGACCAAGCCCUGAAGAGGCCCCGCGGCUCUGCCCACAGGACCGUGUCUCGCAAGGGAGGGCGAAGUGCUUUGCUGUGCCUGGUAUUUAUCUUUUAUAUUUGGC